rnacentral:snRNA from 1 species
GGAUAUGAGGGCCAUCUGGCUGUGACAUCUGUCACCCCAUUGAUCGCCAUUGAUUCAACUUAUCUGGCUGGCUAGGCAGGGGUCCCCUUCUUCCCUCACUGCUCCAUGUAUGUCCCUCCCAAAGCUGCACGCUCAUCCUCUUUGACUGUCUUCGGUCAAGGGUAUAUGAAUAACUGCACUCCCCUGCUAGAACCUCCAAACAAGCUCUCAAGUGGAUCAGAUGUAAUGAAGGAAGAGAUACAAUUAGACAUAGGAGUGUGUGAUGAAAGUGCAACAGAGUGAAACUC